CACUCCUACGGGAGGCAGCAGUGGGGAAUAUUGGACAAUGGGCGCAAGCCUGAUCCAGCCAUGCCGCGUGAGUGAUGAAGGCCCUAGGGUUGUAAAGCUCUUUCACCGGUGAAGAUAAUGACGGUAACCGGAGAAGAAGCCCCGGCUAACUUCGUGCCAGCAGCCGCGGUAAUACGAAGGGGGCUAGCGUUGUUCGGAUUUACUGGGCGUAAAGCGCACGUAGGCGGACUAUUAAGUCAGGGGUGAAAUCCCGGGGCUCAACCCCGGAACUGCCUUUGAUACUGGUAGUCUUGAGUUCGAGAGAGGUGAGUGGAAUUCCGAGUGUAGAGGUGAAAUUCGUAGAUAUUCGGAGGAACACCAGUGGCGAAGGCGGCUCACUGGCUCGAUACUGACGCUGAGGUGCGAAAGCGUGGGGAGCAAACAGGAUUAGAAACCCCUGUAGUCCCAUGA
rnacentral:rRNA from 1 species